GAGUUUGAUCCUGGCUCAGAUUGAACGCUGGCGGUAUGCUUAACACAUGCAAGUCGAACGGAAACGAAACUAGCUUGCUAGUUGGCGUCGAGUGGCGGACGGGUGAGUAACGCGUAGGAAUCUACCUAGUAGUGGGGGAUAGCCCGAAGAAAUUCGGAUUAAUACCGCAUAAUCUAUUCGUAGUAAAGUGGGGGACUUUCGAGCCUCACGCUAUUAGAUGAGCCUGCGUAAGAUUAGCUUGUUGGUAGGGUAAAAGCCUACCAAGGCUACGAUCUUUAGCUGGUCUGAGAGGAUGAUCAGCCACAUCGGGACUGAGACACGGCCCGAACUCCUACGGGAGGCAGCAGUGGGGAAUAUUGGACAAUGGGGGCAACCCUGAUCCAGCAAUACCGCGUGUGUGAAGAAGGCCUGAGGGUUGUAAAGCACUUUCAAUUGUGAAGAAAAGUUAACGGUUAAUAACCGUUAGCCUUGACGUUAACUUUAGAAGAAGCACCGGCUAACUCCGUGCCAGCAGCCGCGGUAAUACGGAGGGUGCAAGCGUUAAUCGGAAUUACUGGGCGUAAAGCGUGCGUAGGCGGUUUAUUAAGUCAGAUGUGAAAGCCCCGGGCUUAACCUGGGAACUGCAUUUGAGACUGGUCAACUAGAGUAUGGUAGAGGAAAGUGGAAUUUCUGGUGUAGCGGUGAAAUGCGUAGAUAUCAGAAGGAAUAGUCCACGCCGUAAACGAUGAUAACUAGCCGUUGGGGGGAUUUACCCCUUAGUGGCGAAGCUAACGCGUUAAGUUAUCCGCCUGGGGAGUACGGCCGCAAGGUUAAAACUCAAAGGAAUUGACGGGGACCCGCACAAGCGGUGGAGCAUGUGGUUUAAUUCGAUGCAACGCGAAGAACCUUACCUGGUCUUGACAUCCUGCGAACUUUCUAGAAAUAGAUUGGUGCCUUCGGGAACGCAGUGACAGGUGCUGCAUGGCUGUCGUCAGCUCGUGUCGUGAGAUGUUGGGUUAAGUCCCGUAACGAGCGCAACCCCUAUCCUUAUUUGCCAGCACAUUAUGGUGGGAACUAUAAGGAGACUGCCGGUGAUAAACCGGAGGAAGGCGGGGACGACGUCAAGUCAUCAUGGCCCUUACGACCAGGGCUACACACGUGCUACAAUGGGAAGGACAAAGAGCCGCGAAGCCGUGAGGUGUAGCUAAUCUCAGAAACCUUUUCGUAGUCCGGAUUGGAGUCUGCAACUCGACUCCAUGAAGUCGGAAUCGCUAGUAAUCGUAGAUCAGAAUGCUACGGUGAAUACGUUCCCGGGUCUUGUACACACCGCCCGUCAUACCAUGGGAGUGGGUUGCACCAGAAGUGGCUAGUCUAACUUUAUUGAGGACGGUCACCACGGUGUGAUUCAUGACUGGGGUAAAGUCGUAACAAGGUAGCCCUACCGGAAGGUGGGGCUGGAUCACCUCCUUUCU
rnacentral:rRNA from 1 species